rnacentral:rRNA from 1 species
CUCCUACUGGAGGCAGCAGUAGGGAAUUUUCGGCAAUGGGGGAAACCCUGACCGAGCAACGCCGCGUGAAGGAAGAAGUAAUUCGUUAUGUAAACUUCUGUCAUAGAGGAAGAACGGUGGAUAUAGGGAAUGAUAUCCAAGUGACGGUACUCUAUAAGAAAGCCACGGCUAACUACGUGCCAGCAGCCGCGGUAAAACGUAGGUCACAAGCGUUGUCCGGAAUUACUGGGUGUAAAGGGAGCGCAGGCGGGAAGACAAGUUGGAAGUGAAAUCUAUGGGCUCAACCCAUAAACUGCUUUCAAAACUGUUUUUCUUGAGUAGUGCAGAGGUAGGCGGAAUUCCCGGUGUAGCGGUGGAAUGCGUAGAUAUCGGGAGGAACACCAGUGGCGAAGGCGGCCUACUGGGCACCAACUGACGCUGAGGCUCGAAAGUGUGGGUAGCAAACAGGAUUAGAUACCCUGGUAGUCCACACCGUAAACGAUGAUUACUAGGUGUUGGAGGAUUGACCCCUUCAGUGCCGCAGUUAACACAAUAAGUAAUCCACCUGGGGAGUACGACCGCAAGGUUGAAACUCAAAGGAAUUGACGGGGGCCCGCACAAGCAGUGGAGUAUGUGGUUUAAUUCGACGCAACGCGAAGAACCUUACCAAGUCUUGACAUCCUGCGACGAUGCUGGAAACAGUAUUUUCCUUCGGGACGCAGAGACAGGUGGUGCAUGGUUGUCGUCAGCUCGUGUCGUGAGAUGUUGGGUUAAGUCCCGCAACGAGCGCAACCCUUACUGUCAGUUACUACGCAAGAGGACUCUGGCAGGACUGCCGUUGACAAAACGGAGGAAGGUGGGGAUGACGUCAAAUCAUCAUGCCCUUUAUGACUUGGGCUACACACGUACUACAAUGGCGUUAAACAAAGAGAAGCAAGACCGCGAGGUGGAGCAAAACUCAGAAACAACGUCCCAGUUCGGACUGCAGGCUGCAACUCGCCUGCACGAAGUCGGAAUUGCUAGUAAUCGUGGAUCAGCAUGCCACGGUGAAUACGUUCCCGGGCCUUGUACACACCGC